rnacentral:rRNA from 1 species
GACGAACGCUGGCGGCGUGCUUAACACAUGCAAGUCGAACGGAAAGGCCCUGCUUUUGUGGGGUGCUCGAGUGGCGAACGGGUGAGUAACACGUGAGUCACCUGCCCUUGACUUUGGGAUAACUUCAGGAAACUGGGGCUAAUACCGGAUAGGAGCUCCUGCUGCAUGGUGGGGGUUGGAAAGUUUCGGCGGUUGGGGAUGGACUCGCGGCGUAUCAGCUUGUUGGUGGGGUAGUGGCUUACCAAGGCUUUGACGGGUAGCCGGCCUGAGAGGGUGACCGGCCACAUUGGGACUGAGAUACGGCCCAGACUCCUACGGGAGGCAGCAGUGGGGAAUAUUGCACAAUGGGCGGAAGCCUGAUGCAGCAACGCCGCGUGCGGGAUGACGGCCUUCGGGUUGUAAACCGCUUUCGCCUGUGACGAAGCGUGAGUGACGGUAAUGGGUAAAAAAGCACCGGCUAACUACGUG